rnacentral:lncRNA from 1 species
GAUCACCUCUAGGAUGAUCCUAAACAUAUGCUGACUUAUAAGUUAUUCAGGACUUAAAGACAAAAUAGCACUAUUUACCAAGCAUUUAUAAAAAUUAAAGGGAAAAAGAAAAAACACUUAGUGGGUAUUUGAUGCCCUCCUCUCAAGGUAUAAACUGGGGGAAUAGCAAAGUCUGAUAAUGUAGAUAAGAGUUUUCAAGGUAAGUGAAGUGGGUUUUGUGCAGUUGCCUCUCUUUUGGCACAAGUUAGAGGACCUGACCAUCUGGCACCAAGCUUAGGAGUCUACUCUGGGCAAUUACAGGGGGAGAUGACUUAAUAGGAGACACAAUAAACCAACUGGCCAUAGUAGAAAGCACAGGAGAAGUUAGAAAUUAAAGCAACUGUAAAAGUCUAGGAAAUCCAUCCAAGGAAUCCAAAAUGACUAUUUCCCAACAAAAUAUUAAUAUAACGGGUUUUUAAAGUAUGCCUGAAUUUACAGGGUUGAUAAAACAGAAUAACUGAAAUUAGGAACAUCCAGAAAAAUACAGGUUGCAUGGUUAAUGAAAAUUGAAUGCAGGAUAGGGCUGGUGGCCCUUUUCCCAGUUUUUGCUAAACUCUCUACUUCGCAUAUGCCUGUAGUCAUUAACAUUGAUAGAGGUAAGUAUGCCUUUGUUUAUCAUUUAAAUCAUAGAAAAUAUAACAUGAGUCAGUGCAGCCAGCUCAAAAUGAAACUCUGAAAGCAGCUGUAGUAGCAGAAAGGUGUGUCAGAAUCCCAGAGAAACGGCUCAAGUUCAAAAGUCACCCUUUAGUCCCUUAUGCUCUAAUGGCUAGAAAAUGAGGGGCAUGACUCCUAGUCUUCCUGUCCUGUCCUCAGUUUAACUUCUCCUUAAUUCCAUCAUCAGGUCUACAAUAUAGGAUUCAUAUUACACAUUCUUCAGGGUCAACACACUGGGGAAUGUACCAGAUAAACUAAGAUUAAAGGAGCCUAUGAAUGUAAUAUAAAUGGAGUGACAAACAGAUAACUAUUUCAUAUUGGAAGCUCUUUCAGACCUCUUCUGGAUGUAUUCAAGUCAUAGGAAUCUCUCAAAAAUAAUAAAUUCCUGCUGAUGUUGAUGAGCACAUUUACGCUCCUGUCCCUAUGCCAAAGAAACAGGAGAAAGUCUUAUCUUAUGAGGAGUAACAGAAGGUAGGAAAUGUGUCAGAAUAAAUGACAAACUGCCCACAGCCAUAAAUUUGGUUCAGAGUGAGUUCGAUUUCACUUUCAUAAGGCAUUUGUAUUGACAAAGCUGUAAUAAUUGUUUUUCUUCUGGGUUGACCAGGUCUCAAAGAAAAACAAAACCAAAAAAUCCCAAUCCUCUGCUCCAAAUUUCAUCAUAUUAUGUCAUAAGGAAUACCUAAAGAGAAGAUUCAGAAAGCCCCAACUCAGUUCCCAGAUGAAUCAAGACUUUCAUGAAGACUUGAUUAAGACUGCAUUCGUUUUGUUUCACCUGAAAGCAGGGAGGAGACAGUACAGUGAGGAAAAGCAUCUGACAAGGCCAGCUGGGGCAGAGGAUGGGAAGGAUGGAGACACCUUGGUUUGGAAGGCUAGGAAGCAGGCAAAGACUGGCUGUCACUUCAAAUCACUAACCGGGCCCACUGAUUCCAUCUACAAUCCUAACCCACCUCCUCGGGACUCCCUAUGCCUUCCUACCAGUGAAAUGCGAAAUAGCAGCACCUACCACAGCCAAGAGAGCACUUAACACAACAGCAGUUUAUGGACACGAAGAAGAGAAGGGAGAAUAAAGAGGAAAAUGAUGUUGAUCUAAAAGUCUCACUCUGGUCCCUUUUAUAAUAGAUAUUUUACUUUGAAAUAAACA